GGACCCGCAUCCCGCCCCUCCUAGAACGUCACAGGAGCCGCACCAAAAUCCUCAUGGAGUGAUUCCUUCCGAAUCAAAGCCUUUUGUAGCUAGUAAACCUAAACCUCACACCCCCAGUCUUCCAAGGCCUCCAGGCUGCCCUGCUCAGCAAGGUGGGAGUGCCCCCAUUGACCCUCCUCCAGUCCAUGAAUCUCCACACCCUCCCCUGCCUGCCACUGAGCCAGCUUCUCGGUUAUCCAGUGAGGAGGGCGAAGGCGAUGACAAAGAAGAGUCUGUUGAAAAACUGGACUGUCAUUAUUCAGGUCAUCAUCCUCAGCCAGCAUCUUUUUGCACAUUUGGGAGCCGGCAGAUUGGAAGAGGCUAUUACGUGUUUGACUCCAGGUGGAAUCGACUUCGCUGCGCCCUCAAUCUCAUGGUGGAGAAGCAUCUGAAUGCACAGCUAUGGAAGUGAGUGCCUGUUGUUCUUGGGAGAGGACCUGACUUUACACAGUGCUGCGUUGUCUUUUAUUUCCUGUGAGACUGAUGUUAUGAAGAUAUGCUUAUCUAAACGAAGCUGGCCUUUGGCCCUGAGAA
rnacentral:sRNA from 1 species